rnacentral:rRNA from 1 species
GACGUAGGGCGCGAGCGUUGUCCGGAUUUAUUGGGCGUAAAGAGCUCGUAGGCGGCUUGUCGCGUCUCUGUGAAAUCCCGCGGCUCAACCGCGGGUCUGCAGUCGAUACGGGCAGGCUAGAGUUCGGUAGGGGAGACUGGAAUUCCUGGUGUAGCGGUGAAAUGCGCAGAUAUCAGGAGGAACACCGGUGGCGAAGGCGGGUCUCUGGGCCGAUACUG